rnacentral:tRNA from 1 species
UAGCUCAGUCAGUAGAGCAUGAGACUCUUAAUCUCAGGUUCGUGGGUUUGUUCCCCAC